rnacentral:rRNA from 1 species
GACGAACGCUGGCGGCGUGCCUAAUACAUGCAAGUAGAACGCUGAAGAGAAGAGCUUGCUCUUCUUGGAUGAGUUGCGAACGGGUGAGUAACGCGUAGGUAACCUGCCUUGUAGCGGGGGAUAACUAUUGGAAACGAUAGCUAAUACCGCAUAACAAUGGAUGACCCAUGUCAUUUAUUUGAAAGGGGCAAAUGCUCCACUACAAGAUGGACCUGCGUUGUAUUAGCUAGUAGGUGAGGUAACGGCUCACCUAGGCGACGAUACAUAGCCGACCUGAGAGGGUGAUCGGCCACACUGGGACUGAGACACGGCCCAGACUCCUACGGGAGGCAGCAGUAGGGAAUCUUCGGCAAUGGGGGCAACCCUGACCGAGCAACGCCGCGUGAGUGAAGAAGGUUUUCGGAUCGUAAAGCUCUGUUGUAAGUCAAGAACGAGUGUGAGAGUGGAAAGUUCACACUGUGACGGUAGCUUACCAGAAAGGGACGGCUAACUACGUG